AUUGAACGCUGGCGGCAUGCCUUACACAUGCAAGUCGAACGGCAGCACGGGGCAACCUGGUGGCGAGUGGCGAACGGGUGAGUAAUGCAUCGGAACGUACCUUUCAGUGGGGGAUAACGUAGCGAAAGUUACGCUAAUACCGCAUAUUCUGUGAGCAGGAAAGCAGGGGAUCGCAAGACCUUGCGCUGAUUGAGCGGCCGAUGUCAGAUUAGCUAGUUGGUGAGGUAAAGGCUUGCCAAGGCGACGAUCUGUAGCGGGUCUGAGAGGAUGAUCCGCCACACUGGAACUGAGACACGGUCCAGACUCCUACGGGAGGCAGCAGUGGGGAAUUGUGGACAAGGGGGGCAACCCUGAUCCAGCCAUGCCGCGUGAGUGAAGAAGGCCUUCGGGUUGUAAAGCUCUUUCGGCCGGGAAGAAAUCGCACGAGCUAAUACCCUGUGUGGAUGACGGUACCGGAAUAAGAAGCACCGGCUAACUACGUGCCAGCAGCCGCCGUAACAC
rnacentral:rRNA from 1 species